UUUUUAUUAAAACGUUCAUUCGUUCGGUUAGUUCAGUAUCAUCAAUCGAAAGGAAUCAAACCCUUCGUUAUUUUGUUUAAAGCGAAUCGUUUGAACAUUCUUGUUUUUGUUAAUUUUUAAAUUUUGUGUGACAAAAUAUAAAAAAAAAAUACCAUUCAAAAUGAAUGAAAUGACAAGUUUGUUAACUACUUUUACCAUCUUGGUAUUCCUUCUCGGAUUGUUGUAUGCCUUUUACGUUACACUAUCUUAAGGCACUUUAAUUUAAAAUAAUAAACAAUACUAUAUUCCAAUUUAUUUAUUCAUCAUGUAUUAUUAUUUAUUGUUGAGAAGGAUGUAAUUUUUACAUAACAUAAAAGAUGACGUAAGAACGGAUAUGGCGCCAUGCAGGAAGAAACGGAAAUACUGCAACUUCUAUCAUGUAGACGCGCACCAUUAAAUUUUUGUUUUCAAAAUAAUAUUACUCACCUAUUAAACCGAAGAGAAGAGGUGAUGAAUAAAAUGACAAAUGCUUCACAGAAAAAUGCGGGGAUGAUGCCUACACGUCUGUCAUUUGGUGUUUUUAAAAGUGGGCCAUAAAAUAUCUCAACGUCAUCUUACAAAAAAAAAACAUUAACGCUUCUGUAUUUAAAUUUUUGUAAACAAAUUUUGUUUUUUUUUUCUUUCAUUUCAAAACAUUUUUUCUUUUGUAAACUUAAAAUUUUUAAAAAAGGGUGCACCUGUUUGCUGGCUUAGAUUUUCUUUUAGUUUUAUUUGUUUUGUUUUUUUGUUUUUGUAAUUUUCACUUCAAAAUGAUGUCCAUAGUUUUCCCGGGAUUUAUGGAUAUCUCCAAGCUUUAUUGUAGAUGUAUUUAUUUUUAAUUUUAAAUCUAUCACCAAUGAAAUAUUUGCAUUUUAUUUUAUUAUACAAUAUUUUUAUUAUACUUUAAAGAAAAACCAUAAAAAAUGUAUUUAAAGAACGAGCCGAUAGAUUAUUUUCUUGAUUUUAAGAGAAAUAAAACAAGUUAAAAAUAAAUAUUAUAUUUGUUAAAAA